CAUGCAAGUCGAACGAAGUAGCAAUACUUAGUGGCAGACGGGUGAGUAACAUGUAGGUAUCUGCCCUUUGGCCUGGAAUAACACGAGGAAACUUGUGCUAAUACCGGAUAAGUCUUUACGGAGAAAGCUUUAUGCACCAUUGGAUGAGCCUGCACUUGAUUAGUUUGUUGGUGGGGUAAUGGCCUACCAAGACUGUGAUCAAUAGCUGAUUUGAGAGGAUGAUCAGCCACAUUGGGACUGAGACACGGCCCAAACUCCUACGGGAGGCAGCAGUGGGGAAUCUUGCACAAUGGAGGAAACUCUGAUGCAGCGAUGCCGCGUGAGUGAAGAAGGCCCUUGGGUUGUAAAGCUCUUUCGUCGGGGAAGAAAAUGACUGUACCCGAAUAAGAAGGUCCGGCUAACUUCGUGCCAGCAGCCGCGGUAAUACGAAGGGACCUAGCGUAGUUCGGAAUUACUGGGCUUAAAGAGUUCGUAGGUGGUUGAAAUAGUUGGUGGUGAAAUCCCAGAGCUUAACUCUGGAACUGCCAUCAAAACUUUUCAGCUAGAGUAUGAUAGAGGAAAGCAGAAUUUCUAGUGUAGAGGUGAAAUUCGUAGAUAUUAGAAAGAAUACCAAUUGCGAAGGCAGCUUUCUGGAUCAUUACUGACA
rnacentral:rRNA from 1 species